UGUCCAAAAGCUGCUGUCACAUAUUUGAGAGGGUUAAGAGCUGUGUCUCUACCUCUAUCAAAACAGCUGCAAUCUUCAGUGGGGGCUAAAGGUAAGUAAAGUUCACAGGCAUGAGUGGCAGGCACAAGGAACAGAUGCAAAGCAUAAAGGAUUUGGAGAACCACAUGGACAAAAGUAAUUUUGCACAACCUUUUGUAUUUCUGUUGAAGUAAAUAACUUCAUUAAUAAAUAUGGAAGGACUACAUAGAACAAGAAAGAUCCUGCAGAUCUGACAUCAGGUCCUGAGUCAAAUUGAAAGCCUUUCAGCAGAAUGUUCUGUGCUAGAUCCUUGGACUUACCUCAUAUAGCAGAAGAUUACUCUGGGAUAACUGCAAAAAGAGUUCAAGCCUGUGAAGUAUCUCAGUCCAGCUCCUUGCUGUCACCAUGGGAUAGAACAAGAACAUCAUGGAUGGUGGGACAGUAAACUUGCUACAAAGAGCAUUUGGGCUGCCAGGAGAUGCCACCAGAAGAGAUGAUGUCCCCUUAUCACACAUGUUGUCCAUGCAGAUACUGUAAGAUUACCGGGUAUUUUCACAGCUGGAAGAGUAGACCAUUAUAUUCCACACCAUGGUAUGUAUUAAACUCAAGGUAGGAUGAUGCUAAACGUUCUGGGAUGAGCUAACCCUUUGGGACCUUCAAAAAUCCAGUCCUUGGCAGAGCUGACUUUGGUCUGCAUGCAGGUAUGGUAUACUAGAUGCCUAGCACCAAGUUUAUCAUUGCAGGCAGCAUCGCAAAGCAGAGAGAACAAAAAAAAAAAAAAAAAAAAAAAAAAAAAAAAAAAAAAAAAAAGUCAUUCAGAUAAAGCAAAACAAAUUUGUGCUGAAUAAUUAAGGAUUUAAUGUGUGGAUUUUUGUUGUUUGAUUUUUGUGUAAUGAAGUAAUUGUUUUUGUUACUGACCUAUUGGUAAAGGCAGUGGCAGUAAAAUGAAACUGGAAUGUUAAUGACUAAAUAAUUCUUUCUGAUGAUUCAGAUCUUUAACUAAUUUUAUUGGAAAAAGAUUUUGCUUUUCUUGGAAGUUGAAAAUUAUUGAUAAUGAUCUAGUUGCUAAUUUGGGAAUUGCAUUUUUCUAACGAUCGAUGCAAUUAGUGAGAGUUGCUUGGAUUGUUCGAAGCAAAAUGUAAUGUUACAGGUUUGAAAUGUUUUCUAUAAUCACUUUAUGUGUGUAAGUCUUGGCAAACUGCUAAAAUAAGAUAACGAUAACACUAAGAUGAUUAUUCCUUUUUUCUUACUAAUUUUCUUAGUGUUCCUCUUACAGCAAGUACCUCCACUAUUAUUAAAAGAAAAAAACAAAACAAAACAAAGAAAAAAGCCCUGACAUGACAGAGGGAAACAACAAGCAACUUUAUUCUUUCCACUUUGUAUUUGAGCAUGUGCAUGAUGUGCCACUAGGUCUUAUAUUUUACAUAAAAACAAAAGUGGAGAAACAAAAGGUGAAUUAUUAAUGUUGAAGUUGCUGGGAAAACUAUAUUGACUUUAUCAGAGGCCAUUGUGAACUCAGAAUGAACUCUCAGUUGCUGAAAGCUCACGUCUGGUGGUAGCUACUGAAGGUACAUCUGGCUGGCUGAUACACACCUCAGCGUGUCUCUCUAAAUCUCCUUCACUUGUCUUUAGCUUGCCAUCGCCCCAUGGAAAAUUGCAAUGGUAGGAUACUUAGCUUGGACUGAAUUUGCUCUGGAAAAG
rnacentral:lncRNA from 1 species